rnacentral:rRNA from 1 species
AUUGAACGCUGGCGGCAUGCCUUACACAUGCAAGUCGAACGGCAGCACGGGUGCUUGCGCCUGGUGGCGAGUGGCGAACGGGUGAGUAAUACAUCGGAACGUACCUUAUCGUGGGGGAUAACGCAGCGAAAGCUGUGCUAAUACCGCAUACGCCCUGAGGGGGAAAGCGGGGGAUCGCAAGACCUCGCGCGAUUAGAGCGGCCGAUGCCUGAUUAGCUUGUUGGUGGGGUAAAAGCCCACCAAGGCGACGAUCAGUAGCUGGUCUGAGAGGACGAUAAGCCACACUGGGACUGAGACGCGGCCCAGACUCCUACGGGAGGCAGCAGUGGGGAAUUUUGGACAAUGGGGGCAACCCUGAUCCAGCAAUGCCGCGUGAGUGAAGAAGGCCUUCGGGUUGUAAAGCUCUUUUGUCAGGGAAGAAACACCGGCUCUAACACAGUCCGGGAAUGACGGUACCUGAAGAAUAAGCACCGGCUAACUACGUGCCAGCCGCCGCCGUAA